UAUGCUCUAAGUCUACAGCGUAUCAGCCUAUGGUUAUCCACCAUUAUUAGUUGACACUGGUUCUUUGUAUAUUUCUAUUGUCUGUUUUGUUUUGUAUUGUGUAUUUCCUUAUGCUCAAUAAAAAAGAUAAAGGGGGAAAACACAAAAGCAGGUUUGCGGGGUCUAAUUCGACUUCGCUGAGAUUAUCGAAUGCACCGUCAAUAAAAUGCAUCUGGCCCUUCCAGCGGUCCUCCAAUUUGCAGGGAAAACAAAAACAUUGUAACGCCUGUGACUUGGGGCAAAGUCCGAGCUGUGAAGAAAAAAAGGAGUUAUAAUGAUGUACGCCUGUAUAUAAAAAAACAGAACCGGAACUUUGCUAACUGAAAAGAUAAGCGUCUUAUUUAUCACACCAAGUUUCCUUAUUGGUGUGCUGUACAAGUUUCUUAUUAAGUGGGCAAACAGAAACCAUCGACCAGGAACAGAAGACUGGCUCCUAUCAGAAGCACUGGAUUAUACUGAAGGUUAAUCUUCUCUUCUACCAAGUGUGACCAGGGGACAGCGGCCCACUGGGGGUCAUAGUGCUGGAGGGCUGCUCCGUCCGGCUAUGCGACUCGGAGGAGCCGUUUGUCUUUUCUGUGGUGUGUGGGGAGCUGGGGCAAUGGAACCAUAGGCUGGCCGUUGCAGAUGAGCCGACGCAGCGGAGCUGGGUUGAAGCGCUGCUGGCAGCCAGCCACUGCUUCUCGUCCAUGCUGGUGAGGGACCUGCAGUGGCAGUGUAAAGAUAUGGGAGGUAUAGCCUACACCUCUGAGACUCCGCAGCUCUACACUGGGUCUCAUCUAGAUGAAUCAGAGUUUACCUGCUCUCUGGGUUCCAAGCACA